rnacentral:rRNA from 1 species
AGAGUUUGAUCAUGGCUCAGGAUGAACGCUAGCGGCAGGCUUAAUACAUGCAAGUCGUGGGGCAGCAUGGGGUAGCAAUACUCUGAUGGCGACCGGCAAACGGGUGCGGAACACGUACGCAACCUUCCUUUAACUGGAGAAUAGCCCCUCGAAAGAGGGAUUAAUACUCCGUAACAUGAUGAUAAGGCAUCUUAUUAUUAUUAUAGCUCCGGCGGUUAAAGAUGGGCGUGCGCCUGAUUAGGUAGUUGGCGGGGUAACGGCCCACCAAGCCUGCGAUCAGUAACUGGUGUGAGAGCACGACCAGUCACACGGGCACUGAGACACGGGCCCGACUCCUACGGGAGGCAGCAGUAAGGAAUAUUGGUCAAUGGACGAAAGUCUGAACCAGCCAUGCCGCGUGAAGGAUGAAGGCCCUCUGGGUUGUAAACUUCUUUUAUCUGGGACGAAAAAAGCUCAUUCUUGAGCACUUGACGGUACCAGAGGAAUAAGCACCGGCUAACUCCGUGCCAGCAGCCGCGGUAAUACGGAGGGUGCAAGCGUUAUCCGGAUUUACUGGGUUUAAAGGGUGCGUAGGUGGGUCUGUAAGUCAGUGGUGAAAUCUCCGGGCUUAACCCGGAAACUGCCAUUGAUACUAUAGAUCUUGAAUAUCCUGGAGGUGAGCGGAAUAUGUCAUGUAGCGGUGAAAUGCUUAGAUAUGACAUAGAACACCAAUUGCGAAGGCAGCUCACUACGGGAUCAUUGACACUGAGGCACGAAAGCGUGGGGAUCAAACAGGAUUAGAUACCCUAGUAGUCC